ensembl:lncRNA LINC02140 long intergenic non-protein coding RNA 2140
GCCGCCUGGAAGUUCUGACAGCGCCCUGAAGCCCAUUUGUCAUCUAAAUGGUCCGUCCCCUUCUUAAACAUCAUUUUGGCCCAAGGUCCAUUCAUGGGGCCUGCCGGGUGUUCCUGGGAAGAUGGGCAGAAAAUCCCAAGGCAAGUGGGAAAAGCCUGGCCACCAUUUAGUGCCAAUAAACAGAAGGCCUGGUUUCUUCAAAAGAAACACAAGAAAUUGUUUCCUGGUUUUGCCACAGAGAUUGGGUCACAGAGUGCCACCUAAAUGGUAUUACCAUAUUUGUGUUGUCGCCUCUUGGUUUGAAAUUUAUUCCUGGUAUGACUUGUGUCUCCCCUUGUUCCAUCUCUGACACCCAAGCCCAUGGGAUGACAACCCAGGCUGAGAUGUCCCAUGUGUCACAAAGGAGUCCUUCAGUAUUUCCAGGAAUAGUUGGAACCAGCACUCCAUCCCCUACCUGGACCUGGCACCCUCUCUACUCUUGUCAAUUCUACACUAAUCACAGGAAGAAGGUGGAAUUAGUCCAAGCUGGGUUUUCAGAAAUAACUUGUAGACAUGCAACAGAUGUUUAUAACCCUCAGAAGCGGAAGGAAACUUGGAAACCCUCUCUUUCGGUGACUUUUUUUCUAAUGAUUGUCUCUGCCAUGAAAUUCUAACUUCAAAUGAAAUCUUUGGCAGGAACCCAGGGCUGUUCUGUCAAGGUUCAGCUGCAGGACCAGAGCCCCUUCCACCUAACCCCCACUCCUAUCCUGAUGCUUCCUGAGGCACAUCUGCUGUGGUUUCUCACCAGAGAACAGUCUGCAAAAUCACUGCACCUUGUCCAACUCCAUUUUCCAACUGAGAAGACUUGGCCCAGAGAAGUGCACAGACUUGAGGGAAGUAACACAGCAAUCGGACAGACAGACAUCCCCAGAUAUACCUGCUACGGUCCUGGGAGAAAAUAGAGACCCAUCCCCAAAUACCAUCAUCCUCAUCAUUCUCUGUAGCCCAAUCAAAUGAUGCUCCAGGCCUGAGAUUUUAUCCAAUGAACACUCUGUACAUCUUUAAAAGAGAUAUGUACUUGUCUUAUUCCUCCUUUCCUUUCUUUAAAAAAAAACACAGGCCCCAGAUCCAGUCAUUCUAAAUAGGAAGGAAAAACAUAACCCACUGAGGCAAUGGAUGCUGUUUCUCUCCCUGCUCUGUGACUUUAGUUUGCCUUUAAAGCCCAUUUUCACCAUUUAUUGAUUUUAGUUUUCUACUUGUCUAUGAAUGACAACUUGAAUUAAGACAACGCAGGCUGAAAAGCCGCUAGGCAGUGCUAAAUGGACAAGCUACACUUCGUGGCAGGAUGUCUCAUGACCGUGCCACCUUCUGCCUAGCCCCAUUCUCUGGAGGAGCUGUGGGCAGACCGACCCCAGCCUGGCCGCCUGGCAUGGGGACUGGUUGCGUCAGAUCGGAGCUCUGAGAUAAGGGUGGGCCAGGGCAUGAUCAUCACCACUGCCAGCCUCGAAGCCUCUUUGCUGACCUGGAGGUGAUCUGUGUAUCAAAGGGGGCUGUGUAUUCAACAGCACUUCCAGAAGAGGCCAAAGAUCUGUCUCUACUUCAGCCUCCACUGGGCAGAAAACUAAGCCUAUUUGCUCUAGGCCCUUCAGACUUGCACUUGGAGAAAGAAAACUCACUAAGUCAGCCCUUAUGUAACUCCACUCUCCUCUCUUCCAAACCUCCUUGCUUUGGACAAAUAUUUGACAGAAAAUGCCCUUUUGCAACGCCUUAAAAGUUACAAAAAUGGUGCACCCUAUCCUUUAAUCUGUACUGUAAAUAAAAAAUAUUAACACAAACCCUUUAA